rnacentral:rRNA from 1 species
ACGCUCGACACCUACUGGAGGCAGCAGUGGGGAAUAUUGCACAAUGGGGGAAACCCUGAUGCAGCGACGCCGCGUGGAGGAAGAAGGUCUUCGGAUUGUAAACUCCUGUUGUUGGGGAAAAAGAGGAUGGUACCCAACAAGGAAGUGACGGCUAACUACGUCGCGCAGCCGCGGUAAUCUGAGCGGGCUGGCAAGGC